UUGCCGCCUCCCCUAAAGCCGAACACCAUCCUCUCCUCUCCACCGCUAAUCGCACCCCCCAAACCCCUUAUCUCCUCCAUUCAUCUAUUGGAUCCAUGACUGGCACUUUUCUCUCGUCGGAUGCCGACAUACCCUCUCGUUUCCCCUACUCCGGCAACUCCCACAAACCCGCUCCUGUUUGGCCACCGUCCAACCCCCAA
rnacentral:lncRNA from 1 species